GAAAAAAAAAAGAAGGUUGCCCUUUGUUAAAAUUUCACAUGCUUCUCACUUUCCUAAGUCUUAUCAAAGUUCUAAAUCCUUUUUCUAGCAAGUGUGAGACUCUUCAAAAAAUACUUUCUGCAGAGAUCAAAAUUCUACAUUUCAGAUUGGGUUAAAUACAUUUUAUAAUUCGUCCCGCAGCUGUUGGAGAUAUAGGGGAGUAAAAUGAGAAUUACUCUCAACAGAGCAGUUUUGAAAAUGAAACCAAAUCUUCAUGCUCAACUUGACAUUGGAAUUUAAAGUUAUUUUUACAGGCUCCACUGCAGUCACUAUGUGAAACAUUAAAAAACGUAAUAGAAUAUAAUGUUAAGAGUUAAAGCAUUUCUUUUCUUCCAACAGUGUGAAAAGCAAAAUAAAAAAACAGGAGUACAAAUUAUAUCUUGUUAUCACCUUUCACGCUUUUCCAUAUUUACGCUUUUAACCAAACAACACAUUUUCCUGUGGAAGAUGUUUCCUUCCUUUUAAUGAUCCCCAGAGUUGCUGCCUCGGCAGGUAAAGCUUUUCUUAACUUGAAAACAUGUUGGGUGUGCGUUGGGGAUGAGAGAGCAAAUCCUUCAAGGAAAAUCACAUUUCCUCUGAGAUGCAGUGAGAUAUGUAAGUAGAACCGUUACUAGUCCUUGAAACAUGGAGGGGCGGGAACAGUUUCAGAAAUCCCUCCUGGGGACAGAUUUACUUUUGAUUGUAGAAAAUUGUGGCUGUAUGACAUCACUGAAAUCAAAUAGAAAAAAACGAAGGAGGAAUACCCUUCGUGAUUGAGCUCAAGAAAGAAGGAAGCUAAGCAAAAGCACGCGCAUGGAAAAGCUGCAUCCACUUUGUACUGGCAUGGCAGGACCGGGCCAGUCCUGUGGACCUGCACUGCCUUUGCCUGCUGUCCUGCUCUACUUCCUCUUUAUUUGCAUUCCUUGUCCACACGUGCUCAUCCUGGUCCUGGCCUUGAGAAGAUCCACCUGCUUUUCUGUGAAGAUAUCACAUGUGUGUUGCUGAUCAAUAUGCCAAUGAACAACUAAGCUGAAUAAAACUACUCUCCCCCAGCCUAAGGGGCUUUGU
rnacentral:lncRNA from 1 species